rnacentral:rRNA from 1 species
UACCGCCAUACCACCCUAAACACACCCAUUCUCAUCUGAUCUCAAAAGCUAAGCAGGGUCCGGCCUGGUUAGUACUUGAAUGGGAGAAACAGAUGGUUUGAAAAUGAGUUAGGUGAUAA